UUUCGUAUUUUUCAGCCAAAUGGAUGGACAUAAUUUUGUGAUUCAGACUGUGUAGCAGUGUUACCAGUUUUUGUUCAAUUAAUCCAGGAAGACUGAAUAACAUAAAUCCGCAAAUCACAUUUGAGAAACAUCUUUCCAAGUCUAUAUAUUAAAAAAAAAAAGAGGCAAUCAACCUUUGCCAGUUGCAUUCAAAUACUGGGUUUGGAAAGGAUAAACCGACUGAAUAGUCAGAAUGUGAACCACUGAAGGGAGACAAGUUGGAGAGGAAGCUGGUACAUUACUCACGAAUGAAUCAGACAUCCCCUCCCUCCGUGUUUGAAAAUGUCCUCGGCAUAAAGCAUGGUACAAUUCCAAACGAGGAACUAUGCUCAGGAUUGGAUUUAUAUGACUGAUCAGUUUCCUCUGCUGUUAUCGAAAGCAGAUAUCAAAUGGCUGUGGAGGAAUGCAGGUGAUUGGAGUUGGUCCAAAGGGAAGUUGUGAGUUCUGGGAGGCAGAAGGAAAGCAGCUGCCAUGUUCUGAAGGUUAUCAGCACCUGUUGGUGAUAGAAACAGACACAGAGGUGUUAGCAGGUUCCUGUUUGUCCUCGCACCCCCCUCCCUCCUGAUGGUGACCUUGUCCCAGGUCUUCUACCAGGCCUUCUACCAGAUGCUUUGCUGAGAAUUCACAGAGGCCGUAGACCUGAAGAACCAACAACCUUCCAUAGGCUUUGAGGUCCCACUCCGGCAGCAGGACGUGCUGGCUCCCAGGAAUCACUGUGACCACUAUUCUAAAUUCCUUAUGUGUUCAGAAUUUAUUCAGAGCUCAGGAAGGUGAUACUACUGUAACAGAUGCUCUUCAGAAUUCUAAUCUACUCCCAAGGCAAAUGGAUACC
rnacentral:lncRNA from 10 species